CGAGUAGGUGGCUUAUUAAGUCUCAUGUGAAAUCUCCCGGCUCAACUGGGAGGGGUCAUGGGAAACUAAUAGGCUUGAGGGCAGCAGAGGAAAGUGGAAUUCCCGGAGUAGCGGUGAAAUGCGUAGAUACCGGGAGGAACACCAGAGGCGAAAGCGACUUUCUAGGCUGUUUCUGACACUGAGGCGCGAAAGCAUGCGGAGCAAACAGGAUUAGAUACCCUGGUAGUCC
rnacentral:rRNA from 1 species